CUGAUAAUCAUUACCUAUUUUGUACUUAUUCCAUAGUAAAAUUCAGAGUUAGAUGCAUCAGUCACAGUGUCUGAUGAUACUUUGUGUUACUGGUUUGAUUGUGUUAUUCCAGUGUUGCUGGAUAGUUAAUAGUCUCUAGUUAAUCAGGGCAUCUAUUGAUUAAUAUAUAUUCCCAUUAAGGUAAAUAUAAAUCAUAAUAAAUUAGAUAAUAUAACCAUAAUAAACCUGCUGUAUCCAGUAUGUAACACACUAAAUCAAAAUUAGCAAUUACUAAUUGAAAUUAUUCCCCUAGUAUAGCAUUAUAUAAAUCAAAGGCAUUUCUCUGAAAUCCAUGCAUCAUUCAGAAGAUUAAUCCUCUGGCAACUGUAAAGGUUUUUCUACUCCAUUCAUUUGGCUAAGCUGAUAAUGGUAAUAGCCUUGAGGUUAAGUACACAGCCCUGUGUUCAAGCUGGUGGUUGUUGCUACAGGUGUCCCUUUUGCCAUCCCAGUGCAGCCAGCUCACAGGGCUGAGGGGAGAAUGUCUCUGCAAAGUGCUUGGAAGGUUUCUACCCUGGCCCUUGGACACAGAACACUGGGGCUCAAAAACAAAGUGCUCAUCUGGAAGAAACAUUGGGGAUGAUCCCAAACCCACCAGGGCUUUCCUCUGCCCGCCUUCCUGCUUGGAACUUGAGAGGCUUGAGAAGGGAGUUUGAGUUUCUCUCUCAGCAUCCCAGGGGUGGAUGGAGUACCAGGAGGAGCACAGGUUGUUCACUCUGCAUUGGCCCAGACAGCCUGGCUGAGGGGAUGCUGCUGGGAGGGAAACACCCUUAGGAAUGAUCCUGGAGUGCAUUGCCCUGUCAGCAAGGGUCUGGAGAAGCUCCCAUGCAGUGGGGUGGCUCUGGGUGAGGAGGUGCAGGUGAGGCAGCCCCAGCUCCCUUCACUUGCAGCAGCCUCACAAAAUGUCCUCACCAGGCUCAGAAACCCAGCUGGAGGUUACACAAACCUCUCCUGCUUACUUUGCAUUUUCAAAGCAGAGGACUGGGCGCCAGUCCAAACCUGUAAUCUGUGUGAGGGCAUGUCACAACAAAUAGGAAAAGGAUAAUUAGAAUUUUAUGAAGUGGCUCUCUAUAAUGCUGCCUACUGUUUACUUCCAACAAUUUUAAAUUUAGCAACUGAUGCAUUUUUAAUACCAAUUAAAAAAAACCUCUAAGAAGCUCAUAUUUGCUCAUAGUUACGUGGGUUUUUUAAAAAUAACCCUGUUUCCCCAGUGGGACCAAUGUGUAUGCACGUGUGUGUGUCUGCUCAUAAAAUGGUACUGAAAAGUAUGAGAGCACAGGAAUGUGGCUUAGCAGAUAAUAACUCUUGAUUUCAUUGUUUCAAGUGUUGUGUUUUUUCUAAAAGUCAAAGAAAGUCCAGUUCACUGAAGAGAACAGAAGAGAAUGAACCAUUCCUGGGCUUUCCAGCAGUGUGGGGGAAGAUCCAUUUAACAGACCACAUUUCAGAGCCAAGACAUGAAAGAAAUGGAUUCUUGGGCUGCAGAGUCAGCCCUGAAACAGGAACAAAACAGUAACCAUCACUCGUGGGACCUGCCUGACUGGGCUCCAUCAGUGAACCCAAGCAAAGCUGCUGCAGGUCCCACCCUGCAGCAAUCUGAGCCUUCCAGGACCUGCUGCUGCUUCCCAGGCUGAGGAGAUUCCCCAGUUACCUGCAU